rnacentral:rRNA from 1 species
ACAAAUUAGAGUGCUUAAAGCAGGCUAAAAUAUCUGCCUGAAUAGUGGUGCAUGGAAUGAUAAAACAGGACCUCAGUUCUAUUUUGUUGGUUUUAGGAAUAUGAGGUAAUGAUCAAUGUGGACUGGCGGGGGCAUUCGUAUUGCGACGUUAGAGGUGAAAUUCUUGGAUCGUCGCAAGACGCACUAGAGCGAAAGCAUUUGCCAAGUAUGUCUUAAUUGAUCAAGAACGAAAGUUAGAGGUUCGAAGGCGAUCAGAUACCGCCCUAGUUCUAACCAUAAACGAUGCCAGCCAGCGAUCCGCCGAUGUUCCUUUAAUGACUCGGCGGGGAGCUUCUACUCGGGAAACCAAAGCUUUUGGGUUCCGGGGGAAGUAUGGUUGCAAAGCUGAAACUUAAAGGAAUUGACGGAAGGGCACCACCAGGAGUGGAGCCUGCGGCUUAAUUUGACUCAACACGGGAAACCUCACCAGGCCAGGACAUUGGAAGGAUUGACAGAUUGAUAGCUCUUUCUUGAUUCAGUGGGUAGUGGUGCAUGGCCGUUCUUAGUUGGU